ensembl:snoRNA SNORA70 Small nucleolar RNA SNORA70
CUGCAGCCAAUUAAGCUGACCAGGUUUCUUUCCGCGUGGGAGCCUGGUGUGUAGUGACUGUAAACAGCAGUCUUCUUGGUUAGUGUAUGCAACCUGUUGCAUGUAUGGGUUGCCCAAAGGAACCUUGGAGACAGUU